UUCCAUGAGAUUUGUUUGACUUUGGUCUGAUUGACGGUGAAGGUAGAAGCAGAAGAGGAGGUUGUCGAUCCAACCCGUGCAUCAUAGAUCAGAAACUACGGCGCUGUGGGAACUGAAGAGAGAGACUGAAUUUGGGUGCCCUCCGGGUGCCCCAAAUUUCUACAGAGACGAAGGGAAAGGGAGGAGAGAUCCACGGGAGUCAUC
rnacentral:lncRNA from 1 species